GACGAACGCUGGCGGCGUGCUUAACACAUGCAAGUCGAACGAAGUGGCGAACGGGUGAGUAACGCGUAGGUAACUACCUAUUAGAGGGGGAGAACUAUUGGAAAUGAUAGCUAAUACCGCAUACUAGUAGAUGGACCUGCGUUGUAUUAGCGAGUAGGUAGGGUAAUGGCCUACCUAGGCAACGAUACAGAGCCGACCUGAGGGGGUGAUCGGCCAAAAUGGGACUUGGACAACGGCCAGACGCCCACGGGGGGGAGCAGGAGGGAAUUCUCGGCAAUGGGGGGAACGCUGACCAAGCAACGGCGCGGGAGGGGAGAAGGUUUUCGGAUCGUAAAGCCCUGUUGGUAAGGAAGCGGUACUUAACCAGAAAGGGACGGCUAACUACGUGCCAGCAGCCGCGGUAAUUC
rnacentral:rRNA from 1 species